AUCACCAGGCCACCCUGAACAUACUGAUCUUAUCUGAUUUUUAAAGCUAUAAAGAGUCAUGCCUGGUUAGUACUUGGAUGGGAGACCAACAGAGAAUGUCAGCUCUUGCUUAUG
rnacentral:rRNA from 1 species